rnacentral:misc_RNA from 1 species
CGCACCUUGCGCUCCUUGGUAUUCCGAGGAGCAUGCCUGUUUGAGUGUCAUGAAAUUCUCAACCUCACCGAGUGUGGCGAGGCUUGGACAUUGGGAACUGCUGGAUUUUUUUUAAAAAAAAAACAUUGGCUUUCCUUAAAUAUAUUAGCAAGAUCAUUGGUGAUUGUCUUUAGUAUGAUAAUUAUUUAUACUAUUGAAGAUUGCUUUCUUUGAAAGUUCUUGCUUCUAAUUGUCUUGUAAGACAGUAAAUUGACAAUUUUGACCUCAAAUCAGGUAGGAUUACCCGCUGAACUUAA